rnacentral:lncRNA from 1 species
GUUCCCUACGCGGUCGGGCGUUGGGUUUCGCGGCGCUCGCCGCACUGGUUGUUCAGCACCUUCGGUCCGGUUGAGGUUGUCAAGUCGGACCAAACAGGUUGUUUCUCUGCAGUUUCCAACAUGGCAGGGAGGUUUAAUAGACAUGGAUAAGAAGUCCACUCACAGAAAUCCUGAAGAUGCCAGGGCUGGCAAAUAUGAAGGUAAACACAAACGAAAGAAAAGAAGAAAGCAAAACCAAAACCAGCACCGAUCCCGACAUAGAUCAGUGACGUCUUUUUCUUCAGAUGAUCCUAUGUUUCCUUCUUCCUCAUCAUCGUCUUCAGGAAGCCAGACAGAUUCAAGUAUUGAAGGACAAAAUAUGAAACACCAAGAAAAAGAGAAGGAAAAAAAGGAGGAAACAACCACAUAUGUCACCUUUCCAAGAGGGACUGAAACUGGGCUGACCCUUUUGAUUUCCAAGCUCAGCGUUUUGGUGUAAGGCGGCCAAAGAAGGAUGCGGAGCCCAGCACUGUGAAGCCUACAAAAACAUUGAUGCGCUGGCUUGGGGAUUUGAAUUUGAACAUCUUUCACACUAAGUUCAGACUCAUGAAACCAAUCUUCAGAUGCUCUGUAAACCACAUAAUAAAGAGUUUGGAAAUUA